rnacentral:RNase_P_RNA from 2 species
CUACGCAGUUGGAUCACUGGCGUUGGUUGAUGAAAUUUCUUAUCAACUGAUGAGGAAACUCCGGACAGCAAAGAAAAUCUGGACAUUGAAAAAUGUCUGUUGAAAGACAGGGCCCUAAAGCAGAAACGAUCAGGGUUUUACAUAUUAAACGAGGAUGAAGAGCAGUGCUCUUUUGAGUAGUGUUAAACUCAUGUUGAAACGGUUAUCCCCAGAGCUGCAAGGUAUUCCUACGGGAAAAUUUACCGCAUUAGACUGAUGUGAUCAGUGAUAGUCUAGGUAACAGGAUUAUCAUGAACAGAAUCCGGGUUACAGCUGGAGAG